rnacentral:rRNA from 1 species
UACAGAGGCCCCGAGCGUUGUUCGGAUUUACUGGGCGUAAAGCGCAUGUAGGUGGUGAUGUAAGUCAGAUGUGAAAGCCCUGGGCCUAACCCGGGAAUUGCAUUUGAUACUGCGUCGCUAGAGUGUGAGAGAGGAAAGUGGAAUUCCUAGUGUAGGGGUGAAAUCCGUAGAUAUUAGGAGGAAUACCAAUGGCGAAGGCAACUUUCUGGCUCAUAACUGACACUGAGAUGCGAAAGCGUGGGUAGCAAAC